UUUGAUCCUGGCUCAGAACGAACGCUGGCGGCGUGCCUAACACAUGCUAGUCGAACGCGAAAGUCCUUCGGGAUGAGUAAAGUGGCGCACGGGUGAGUAACACGUAGGUGACCUGCCUUUUAGAGGUGAAUAACCAGAAGAAAUUUUGGCUAAUGCCGCAUACGAAGUACAAAUCUAAGAGUAGUACUUGAAAGGAUGCCUCUGUAUAUGCAUUCACUAAAAGAUGGGCCUGCGGUACAUUAGCUUGUUGGUGGGGUAAAGGCCUACCAAGGCAACGAUGUAUAUCCGGUCUGAGAGGAUGAUCGGACACACUGGAACUGAGACACGGUCCAGACUCCUACGGGAGGCAGCAGUGGGGAAUAUUGCGCAAUGGGGGAAACCCUGACGCAGCAACGCCGCGUGAGUGAGGAAGGACUUCGGUCUGUAAAGCUCUGUUAAUGUGGAAAAAUGGUAGCUGGUCUAAUAGGCCGGCUAUUUGAUGGUACACAUAGAGGAAGCACCGGCUAACUUCGUGCCAGCAGCCGCGGUAAUACGAAGGGUGCAAGCGUUGUUCGGAUUUAUUGGGCGUAAAGCGCGCGUAGGCGGACCUGUAAGUCAGAUGUGAAAUCUCGGGGCUCAACCUCGAAACUGCGUCUGAAACUGCAGGUCUAGAAUCUUGGAGGGGGAAGGGGAAUUUCGCAUGUAGGGGUAAAAUCCGUAGAUAUGCGAAGGAACACCAGAGGCGAAGGCGCCUUCCUGGACAAGUAUUGACGCUGAGGCGCGAAAGCGUGGGGAUCAAACAGGAUUAGAUACCCUGGUAGUCCACGCUGUAAACGAUGAAUACUAGGUAUUGGAGGAUUUGACCC
rnacentral:rRNA from 1 species